rnacentral:lncRNA from 1 species
UAGCUUCUCUAACAGAGAUUAAAUUGGUCUGAGAAACACUAAAACCUCAAACUUCCUGGUGUUAAAUUCUAGAGUGCACAUAUAUCAACGUCUCACGUAACUUGAGUUUUAAACAAUUUCCUCUUUAGCCAGAGUAUGUACGCCUUAGCAGCACACUCAGUGUGAGACCCACUUGGGCUGUUUCUUUCCCUUUUCUCAACAAAGAACUUGAGGCAGAACGAUAAGGGGAUCCUGGGAGAGAUUUCACGCUGCGGACAGCCGUGCUGCUCCGCUCAUGCGCAGUGUGCAAUUGGUCAAUCCUUGAUACCGGUGUCUCGGUGUUCUGAUUUUCUUCCUGGUUUUGAUGAAAGGGACCACUUUGAAGCAGGUCUCCAUUAGUAGCUGUCUGGCAGGGGCUUCCUCACUUUGCAAGAGGCACGGAAACGUGCUUGCUCUUGCUGUUGGAAUCUCACAGUCCUCCAGGGACCUUUUUCAGUACAUUGUGGGUGAUGACACAUGGGUAAACUGACGGUUAUCCAUAGAAUGUAAACUCUUUGGGAUGUUCCUCAGCAACGCUGAGGUUUUACACACUCAUGUUGUUCUUUUAGCCUCUCUUUAUCUCUUUCCAAAACUCAGUGGGGAAAAAUAUCAACUGCCCUCCAUGUUUUCCAGGAUGUCGGCAUUCUUUGUCAUCAGCUAACAUCCAUCACGAAUUUUUGCAAGCCUCUAUCUCUCGGGAAAACACGGCUAAAACAAAGUUCUAUUUUCUUAGGUCUGGAUAUUCCAAAAGAUUUAGCCCCAGUGGGCCACCAUUUUGGAAUGAGUGGUCAACACCAAAUGCCCACAAAAAGGAAUGUUUCUCUGCUCCCUUUGGAGCUCAUGGCUGCUACAGAGAAUGUUUUUCCCACCUGGGCCAUUUUUUCCCCAUAAUUUCAUUUUAAUUGGUCUUUGGUUAAGUUUGCUUUAGCUGUUCAGUAACGGUUUGUUUAAAGCAUUCUGAGAGUCCUGUAAUGACUAUGGAUAGAGACUUCUGCGUGAUUUUCCAGUUAGCACAGGAUACAUCUUUGAGGGCAAAUCCUAUUUUAAUUAGACACUGAUAAAUUCUGAAACCAAAUAUUUACGAAUUUCUUAUAACUUCAUCAAAACCUCUCAACAGAAUAUCAGUGGUCAUCGACACGUUUUCUAAGCAUCAGGACUUUACCAUUUUGAAUGCAAUCGUUUUUCUUUUGUUUUUGUUUGUUUUGCUCCUGGCCCUGUACACACUGCUGACCUAGAACUCACUAUGUAGUCCCUGCUGGCUUCAUUCAAACUUGAAGCAACCUUCCUGUCUCAGUCUCCUGAGUGUGGCUCACUGUACCCAGCAUGAAUGCUAUUUUGGAUACAGAGGUCUCAGUUUGUCUCUGACAUAUUUUCCACGGCAGUCAAGCCCCCCCUGUAACUCUAAAUUGCACAUGAGUUCAGUGAGUCUUUAAGUCGCUUUAGGCAUUACACAGCACUUCGGUAUAAUCUUUAUGUUAACCCCUGUCAAUCACAUCUCAAGUAUGAAAAAUAUCAAUGUCAGAAGAAAGGGUCUGCAAUGCCUCUUCUCCAGGAUGCAUUUCCCACACCAGCAUGUGCUUUCUACGAGGACUCCUGCGAAGCUUCCAGGCGUGGGGCGGAGCUGGGAAUUAGAAGCUGACCAAUAUGACUGCCUUGCUUUCAACUUUCAGAAUAACACUGGCAAAUUCCAUAAACUUGUUUCUGAUCCUAAGUAUAAAGACUACUAGUAGCAGUUUUAUCACAAGGAAAAAAAAAACCCCUAUCAUUAAAUAAUCUUCCCUUUCAAACUCUUGAGUAUGACUACAAAGCAGUACUCUUUUGUGAGACAGGACUUUAGUGGAAGGUGAAAUAAAUACCUUUUAUAAAUGGUAUAGUCUACAGAGGCCACUUGACAAUUUAAUAAUUCUGGUUUUAUUCCCCCAUGAUAAGAAUGUCUUCAACAAAUAUAACAUGGUGAUUACUUCUGUUUGAUGAAUUAAAGUAAAAAAUAAGUUUCCUUC